GACGAACGCUGGCGGCGUGCCUAAUACAUGCAAGUCGAACGCACAGUUUAUACCGUAGCUUGCUACACCAUAAACUGUGAGUUGCGAACGGGUGAGUAACGCGUAGGUAACCUGCCUGGUAGCGGGGGAUAACUAUUGGAAACGAUAGCUAAUACCGCAUAAUAUUGAUUAUUGCAUGAUAAUUGAUUGAAAGAUGCUAUUGCAUCACUACCAGAUGGACCUGCGUUGUAUUAGCUAGUAGGUGAGGUAACGGCUCACCUAGGCGACGAUACAUAGCCGACCUGAGAGGGUGAUCGGCCACACUGGGACUGAGACACGGCCCAGACUCCUACGGGAGGCAGCAGUAGGGAAUCUUCGGCAAUGGACGAAAGUCUGACCGAGCAACGCCGCGUGAGUGAAGAAGGUUUUCGGAUCGUAAAACUCUGUUGUAAGAGAAGAACGGGUGUGAGAGUGGAAAGUUCACACUGUGACGGUAUCUUACCAGAAAGGGACGGCUAACUACGUG
rnacentral:rRNA from 1 species